GGGGAUAUAUUUUAUUUGGUAGAAUGUUAACUUUUCACGUUAAAAGCCUAGGGUCGAUUCCUAGUUUUUCCA
rnacentral:tRNA from 1 species